GGGUCAGUGACUCAGACCACCAGGUGACUUGGCUGUGGUUUCCUAUGAGUCAGGCCUACCAGACAGCCAAGGACAGAGGUGAACAGGAAACUGGGCCAGAGGAAAACCAGAGAAAUGGAGAGAGACAACACAAAUGUCCAGGAGGCUUCCGCCCAGCUCUUGCAGGCCAAAAGGGCAGACAAACCGUGAACUCCCAGAUCCUCAUGCGUGAGUGGAUGCUGUUGUUCUCACUUCAGCUUGAAGGAGCAGAAUAUGCACCAUUGGAUGUCACCACAUGAAUCGAGAGAAAGAAAGGAAAAGUCUGUUGCUUUUCCUUGAAAGCACAAAAGCACAAUGACAUGAGAUGUCAUCGGACCGAAGCAGCACAGCAACCCUGGGCCUCCCAACAGCCUCUGGCAGCUGCUGCUCUUGUCUGAUCCAACCCUCAGGACAGUUGCCAUCUAAAGCAACCAGGAGAAGCAGAAAUGACAGCAGCUGGUGAGGAGAAGGACCACAUCUCUCCUGUUGGCCCCUGCGUCCCCACAGCUUAGCAGUACCUGCUGUGGAAAAAGCAACCAGUAAGUAGUUGCAG